rnacentral:rRNA from 1 species
GACGAACGCUGGCGGCGUGCUUAACACAUGCAAGUCGAACGGAAAGGCCCUGCUUUUGUGGGGUGCUGCGAGUGGCGAACGGGUGAGUAACACGUGAGUAACCUGCCCUUGACUUCGGGAUAACUUCAGGAAACUGGGGCUAAUACCGGAUAGGAGCUCCUGCUGCAUGGUGGGGGUUGGAAAGUUUCGGCGGUUGGGGAUGGACUCGCGGCUUAUCAGCUUGUUGGUGGGGUAGUGGCUUACCAAGGCUUUGACGGGUAGCCGGCCUGAGAGGGUGACCGGCCACAUUGGGACUGAGAUACGGCCCAGACUCCUACGGGAGGCAGCAGUGGGGAAUAUUGCACAAUGGGCGGAAGCCUGAUGCAGCAACGCCGCGUGCGGGAUGACGGCCUUCGGGUUGUAAACCGCUUUCGCCUGUGACGAAGCGUGAGUGACGGUAAUGGGUAAAGAAGCACCGGCUAACUACGUGCCAGCAGCCGCGGUGAUACGUAGGGUGCGAGCGUUGUCCGGAUUUAUUGGGCGUAAAGGGCUCGUAGGUGGUUGAUCGCGUCGGAAGUGUAAUCUUGGGGCUUAACCCUGAGCGUGCUUUCGAUACGGGUUGACUUGAGGAAGGUAGGGGAGAAUGGAAUUCCUGGUGGAGCGGUGGAAUGCGCAGAUAUCAGGAGGAACACCAGUGGCGAAGGCGGUUCUCUGGGCCUUUCCUGACGCUGAGGAGCGAAAGCGUGGGGAGCGAACAGGCUUAGAUACCCUGGUAGUCCACGCUGUAAACGGUGGGUACUAGGUGUGGGGUCCAUUCCACGGGUUCCGUGCCGUAGCUAACGCUUUAAGUACCCCGCCUGGGGAGUACGGCCGCAAGGCUAAAACUCAAAGGAAUUGACGGGGCCCCGCACAAGCGGCGGAGCAUGCGGAUUAAUUCGAUGCAACGCGUAGAACCUUACCUGGGUUUGACAUGGAUCGGGAGUGCUCAGAGAUGGGUGUGCCUCUUUUGGGGUCGGUUCACAGGUGGUGCAUGGCUGUUGUCAGCUCGUGUCGUGAGAUGUUGGGUUAAGUCCCGCAACGAGCGCAACCCUUGUUCACUGUUGCCAGCACGUUAUGGUGGGGACUCAGUGGAGACCGCCGGGGUCAACUCGGAGGAAGGUGGGGAUGACGUCAAGUCAUCAUGCCCCUUAUGUCCAGGGCUUCACGCAUGCUACAAUGGCUGGUACAGAGAGUGGCGAGCCUGUGAGGGUGAGCGAAUCUCGGAAAGUCGGUCUCAGUUCGGAUUGGGGUCUGCAACUCGACCUCAUGAAGUCGGAGUCGCUAGUAAUCGCAGAUCAGCAACGCUGCGGUGAAUACGUUCCCGGGGC